UGGUCUUCGCUGCCAGAAUCUAAGUGGACAGGAAAGAUUAGGAGAUUCCAAGCGGAGCAGCCAGAUUCCACCAGGGAGGGGGGAAAAAAGCCCUCUCCAAGAGGUGUAGAAAAAGUGAACUUCAAGAAUUUUGAGAAAAACUGAUUUGCAUUGGUGGGGGAACUACAAAUGCUGACUCCUUCAAUCAUGCACAAUUGUGGAAAGAAAGCAAGAUCCACAGUGCAAAUUAAUAUAUUAAAAGUCAAGAGACGUCUACUAGGAAACAAAUCAUUAACCUGUAUUUAACCUAGUAUAUCCCAAAUGUUUUUAGCCCUCAAUUUCCCUUUUUAUAAUACCUACUGAACACUCUUUGUUACACUGUUGCAAUGCAUUUUCUAAAUUCCAAAAGUAAAAUUAUUAUUUUUGUUGUUGUUGUUGAUUUCUCUUAUGUUUUUUGAUAUUUCUAUUAGCCAGAUCACAAAUCUGUAUGCUGGAAUAUCAUAUCUGGAGAGAAAUUCUGGUUUGUGCUGUAAUAGAAAUUUCUAAUGUCCGUUUUGAACUUCUGUGAUGGAAGAAAGAUAUAUCACUAAGCAAUAAACAUGUUUUCAUUUU
rnacentral:lncRNA from 1 species